rnacentral:rRNA from 1 species
GACGAACGCUGGCGGCGUGCUUAACACAUGCAAGUCGAACGAUGAAGAAAAGAAUCGAAGCUUCGGCAGAAAUUCAUUUCGGAUUAGUGGCAGACGGGUGAGUAACGCGUGAGCAACCUACCUCUUACAAAGGGAUAGCCUCGGGAAACCGGGAUUAAUACCAUAUAACAUUGCGACGAAGCAUUUCGAUGCAAUCAAAGCUACGGCGGUAAGAGAUGGGCUCGCGUCCCAUUAACCGGAUGGUGAGGUAACGGCUCACCAUAGUGACGAUGGGUAACCGGGCUGAGAGGGUGAACGGUCACACUGGAACUGAGACGCGGUCCAGACUCCUACGGGAGGCGGCAGUGGGGAAUAUUGCACAAUGGAGGGAACUCUGAUGCAGCGACGCCGCGUGAGUGAUGAAGGAAUUCGUUUCGUAAAACUCUGUUCUAUGGGAAGAAAAGGACUGUACCAUAGGAGAAAGCUCCGGCUAAAUACGUG